CUGGUGAGGUGUGUUUAUUAGAAUGAAAACCAUAUGCUUCGGCAUGAUAGUGAGUAAUAGUAACCCAUCGUAUCGCAUGCUUAAUGUAGCGAUGAGUCUUUCAAGUUUCUGCCCUAUCAGCUUUCGAUGGUAGUAUAUGGGCCUACCAUG
rnacentral:rRNA from 1 species